rnacentral:rRNA from 1 species
UACAGAGGUCCCAAGCGUUGUUCGGAUUCACUGGGCGUAAAGGGUGCGUAGGCGGUCGGGUAAGUCUGAUGUGAAAUCUCACAGCUUAACUGUGAAACUGCAUUGGAUACUAUCCGGCUAGAGGAAUGGAGGGGAGACUGGAAUACUUGGUGUAGCAGUGAAAUGCGUAGAUAUCAUUUGGAACGCCAAUGGCGAAAGCAGGCAACUGGGGCUGUACCGACGCUGAGACACGAAAGCCAGGGGAGCGAACGGG